UGUGAAGAUGCCGGUGGGCCACCAGCCACGUGGCAAACUCUUUCCCAGUGUUGAGAAGACAGCAGAAGACAGCUUCAGCUUCUCCACGCUACCUUGGGCCAGCAAAGAUGGCGGCAGUCCAUAUAUGGUCUCCAGUGUGGCCUGUCCAGCACCCUGGGAGCCCCCCUAUGGAAAGAGCUUGGAUCUCUCAAAGCAAUCGCUCCCUUCACUUCUUCCUGGAAACUGGAGGUGUCUUCAGUGAACAUAAAUUAACAGCUGUUUCUCCUACCAGAGCAUCUGCCUUUCACACUACCCAUCCCUCCUCACUCUCCCCCUUGACCUACUUCAUCCCAGCAGGUGGAGGGCUUCGAUUUCUGCCCCUCCCCCGACUCCAGGAGCUGUGUGUUUUUAGCACAGUCUGGUUUAUUUUCAGCUCAUUCCAGCACUGAGUAUUUCCAUCAGGUGGAUGGGGUUGGGAGCAGCACCCUCCCCCCCUUCACUCUGCCUAUCAGCUAAGCCAGGGCUUCACAUGUCUAUUUUGGUGCU